rnacentral:ncRNA from 2 species
AUUAAGAAUUAGUAACACCGCCGUAUAAUUUUGGGGAUAAGGCCCAUGAGUUUCUACCGGACCGCCGUAAACUGGUCUGACUACGCUGGUGAAUAGUUGACGC